GUUACUGAGUUUUCCCGCUUGAGAAAGCAGCACAUGAGUUGCAGUCUUCCUGCAUACAGAGAGUGGAAGUAACAAAAUUGUAUGUUAAGGGCAUCCUUCCCAACAAACCAUUGAAAUCAAUAGGAGACAUGUCUAUGAAACGGCUCACGCUCCGAGGAGGUUGUUUGUCCAUUGCAUUAUUCAAUAGUUAAGAAGGAUCUAAUCCGAUUACACGCCAGAUGUCAG
rnacentral:misc_RNA from 1 species